UUACAGCCCAGGGAGACACUUUAAGGCUGUUGUCACACAGAUCUCACUAACCGUUACCUCAACACUAACUGAAAAGAAAAUAUUUCGAGUUCACAUAUGUCUUGGUUUGCUGUUAUGGGGCAGAGCUUUUUAAUGUGUCAAAGAGGACUUUUUUCAUGGCAAUCUCAAGUAUGCGCAGUGAGUUAAGCCCAUCUGGAACCUUUUAAGAGGAGUUGGAACACGUUGCAUUUGAGCAACAGCUAGCUUGCAAGUUUGGACUGGUGUGCUGUGCUUUUAUCCUUGCUGCUGUUAACCCCUUCAUAUUUGUGUACAUACUCUUUUAUUUUUAUGCGACCGAGCUGAGCUGAAGCAUGAUACUAUAACUACGACAGACUGAUUCGAUUUUAAAUAUGUGCUUCGGAUAGAAGGAAAUGUGCUUUAUGUUGGUAAAGCCUGACCGAACGAUAACACCAGACAGGUAGUUUCACCGUGUACGUCUGCUAAUGCAGAAACUGACAGGGGAAGUGUGGGAAAAAAAACAUGAACAAGCAUUGCCGCAUUCUGGAAAGCCGGUUAUAUUACUUUUAACUGGCGAUUUUAGCUUCCCAAAUGUUUUAUAACAAAUUAAUGUUUCCGGUAAAUAUACAUACGCAUGUAAAUGUUUUCUUGUUUUAAUAUACAUCUCUACAUAUUGCUCCAUUUUUAUCUUCUUUAAAACACAAAAGAAAUCAAAGUUUCUCUUUUUUGGAUAUGCUACUUCUAAAAUUUACCACACACCCUAUAUGACACCAUCACAAUGGCCCUGACUGUCAACGCUGCGGUGGCUUAUUUCUUCACCUGCCGGUCUCAGGAUACCAGCAGUCGCCGGGAAAUGGGAAAGGCAGCGCCCACUUGACACCUAUAGGUCACAACAUGUGAGACGGAAAGUUCUUGUCCACAAAACAUGUUGAUCCAGAUGUCUUCGUUUUCCUCUCUAUCAUAUGUUUCGUUCUGCGGUGUGUAAUUAUACCUGAAAAUAGCUGCUGUUUUCUUUCCAAAUUAAUUUGUUUAUGCGGAGCUUCAUAAAAGUCCCCAGUUAUCUUUGUUCUUGCCUUUUGUUGUUGUUGUAAAGAUUGAACUCCUUUUAGCAGAGAAUGCCUGACAUGCCUUAAAUAUCAAGAUGAUAAUCUGUCAUUUUCUGAAGCAUAUCCAACUCUGUAAUGAUUCUUGGGCAACCUUCUGACUUAUUGCAAAGGUGCCUGUGGUUUCAAACAUGCUCUACAUUAUUUUGGAAGAACUGCUCUCACCGCUCUGCCCCUCUUGUGUGUGUGUGUGUCUGCGAACAUGUGUGUCAGGUAUAUAUUACAUUAUGAUAUUUUGACAUUGUGGGGAUUUUUUUGGGUCCCCACAAGGGGAAAUUCAAUUUUAUAAACAAAAAACUAAAAAUGCCAAAAGACUUGUAUUUUGUUUGGUUACUUAUGGUUAAGGUUAGGAAUGGGUAGAGGUUAAGGUUGUCAGUGCUGGGAUUACAGCGUUUAGCCCACAAAAAUGAAAGGAUGGUCCCCACAAAAAAGUGAGUACAGGUCUGUGUGUGUGGGGGAUGGGUGUGGGGGUAGCUUUUAUGAUGUUUUGUGAAAGCAGCAAAUGACAUCUGGUGUGGCCAGAAAUGUAAUCAGAUUGCUUAACCCAGUGGAUUUCAAAGCAAGAAAGGGAAGGACUCGAUUCUGAGAUUCCAGGUCUCAAUAGUCGAGUGUAGAGUAAUCAUUUCAUUGAAAUUCGAUUACCUGCAAUGCAGGAAUGCCAUUGAAAAUAUGCAUAUUCUCUUAGCAUAUUUCAAAUAAUGAUGUUAAAAAAGAAAACUAUAAGGUCUCUGAACAUCACUCUAAAUGACGUUGUUUUAUAGAUUAUAUGUUGAAAUAUUUUAUUUAUAUCUCAUCCUUAUUUAUUUAUAUAUUAUUUAUAUCUCAUCCUAAUCCUACUCAUAUAUUCAAGUGCGAUAUUCAUAGUAUCUUUGGAAAAUCGCAUAGCUUUAAUGUCUGAUGAGCAGUUGAAAUAUUUAAUUAUUUCAAAACUGAACUAAGCCUAGCUUUCAUAUUGUUUGUGCUGAAAGACUCUAAUUUCAAGGUUAUUUUAUUAGCAUAAAGGAUUGCUUACGAGGGAGGGUCUCUUGCUAGUGAAUUGUCUUUCCUAUAUGAUUUUCCUCUAGGAAAGCAACACCUUGCAAGUCCAGCCUUUUUUCAGUAGCAAUACUCUUCUGGGCAUGAAUGUUAAAUGGUAGACGAAAAAGAGAAUUGCAAGCCAAAAAUCACACAUACCUUUCUAAUCAUUGUCCCUAUUUAAGCCUGCCCAAACUUGUUAAAAGACUACGCUGAGGUAUUCUAGAGUGUUUCCUAUCCUUUUUAUGGUGGACAUGUUGUGAAUACUGCACGACUAUGGCAACAUACAGACACAGCUGCUAAGAUGCUUUAAGUACUGAUUUCAUACUAGAGUCACAGAGCUGUAUUCAAUUAGAGCCAUAUGAUUCACAGUGUGAAGGAGCAGACUGUUUUAUCUAAGAAGCAGGCAUAUCUAAUGGACUGCCCCCCUGAGUGUACAUGUAUGCAGUAUAAAAUAUUAUAGAUUCAUUAUGCAUUCAUAUUAUUAUUGAGCCUUUGAGCAACAGUUAGUACUGACUUUUGAAGAAUUAAAUGAGCGUGUGAAUUAUUUUCACUAUGUAAACAUGUGGUAGGAGCUUAUAGCUACUCAUGUAAUAUCUUCCCACAAUAUAGUAACUACAUAUGUCAUAAUAAAAAUUUAACGACUCACAAUGUAAACAAUCAUGAUGGCAUUACAAACUCUCACCCAAUAACUGCAUUAAAUUCAUGCACAUAAUGUACUAAAUAUCAUUUUAUAUUGCCUUUAAUACAUUAUGAGUUUUUAUAAGAUAUUUGCUAUUACAUAUUAUGUAUAUAUUACAUUGUAAGCAACAGAGAUUCAUUAUGGCUUAUUGACCAAGAAUUUAUUUUUAAGGAUUUGCCACAGUUUUUAUGUCCAGUGAUUUUUAACACUAUUCUCGAUGUCAAUAGACCCCCCUGUUGGCUGUGGUGCUGAUUGUGUUUUUAAUGCUAAGCAGCAAUGGGGGACGCCUCAGUUACAUUCAGUAAGUGUUGGGUGGGGCCGUGCCUAUGUGUUGUUGCAGUGUUUGGUGAGACUUCACCUAUAUUUUGUAACAAUGUGGGGUGAGGUGUCAACUAUUUAUAGUUGCAGCACUAAAUGAGGCCUUACCUAUAUAUAAAAAACAGUUUUGGGUGAGGCAUUGUAUAUGAAAUUGUAACAAUGUUGAAUGAGCCCUUGUGUGUCUGAAACAGUGACAGCUACUGUACAGAUUGAGCCUAUCAGUCUAGAGGGGGAUCAGGUCUGUUCAUAUGAUUGUCCAGGUCAGCUUACUGAAGUCCUUGGGUCAGGUCAUUGAAAAGGUUCUUGUUUGUGUGGCUGGCGCUCAAUUAUUUAUGUUAAUUAAGACAUUUUGAAACUUCUAACAACCCUGUGGGUGGGAACAUACCAAACUGCACUCUCAGCCAGCUAAUAAACUGGAUUAUUGGGUGUACCAUGGAGAACUAAUUAAAAGUGAUGACUUACUCUAGAGACAAAAUAUGUGAAAACAGCCAAGAGGAAAUAUAAAUCAUACACCUCAUACCAGUUUGACUCCUUUCUUAAACAUUCGGAUUGUCAGUGCUAAAAUUGCAGGUUCUUCAGUCACAAAAGCUGCAAGAUGAUUUAACAUGGGAAGGACAACCAUCACAAAAAAUCGUGAUACUGCAUGUGAGACAUGGACAAACUAUUAGCGAAGAGUGAUGCAAGAUGAGUUCGAUGAGUCAGCGUCACACCUGUGGGAAGGAUGAAUGGCGGGUGUGUCUCUGCACUGCAGCUUACCUUGGUCAGGAUGGGCACCCAGGCAGAGAGGAGCACAUUCACCUAUGCUCUAGGUCUCAACAUUUUCUAAAUAGCCUUAAUAAUCUUUGGUGUGACAUAGCAAUAUCUGGCCUUAAAAAAUAUGGAAAAAGGAGAAGAAGUAAGGAUUAGCUUAGGUUAAUAUGAAACCACCUCAGCCUCAGGGUUAAUGUAGAAAUCAUAUCAAAUUUGUCCAUUAUAUUUAUUUGCUUAUGUGUGUUAAUUCGCAGUAUAGUCAUAAAUUGUGCUAUGUACCCUUGUAAUCAAGGAAAUGAGAUUUUGAGGCACUAGAGGAACGAACUUCAACCCAAAUGCUGGGGGCUAUGCUUUCUGCAAAAUUCCAAACAUUGGCCCUUUGAGCUUUCAAUCAGUGUUGUACUCAAGUCCACCUUAGUCAAGUUCAACUCAAGACUACACUUAACAAACUGAGCCUGAGUCAAGAACAAGCCCAAUAGUGGGAAGAAUCUGAGAUGAGACUGAAUCCGUUAUAGAACCUAGGUAGGCAAGUGAGAAUAUACUCCAAGUCUGGAAAAACACAAGCUCAAUUCAGAAUGCAGAAACUAUAAAGAAACUAUAAAGAGAAA